rnacentral:rRNA from 1 species
GAUGAACGCUGGCGGCGUGCCUAAUACAUGCAAGUCGAGCGAACAGACGAGGAGCUUGCUCCUUUGACGUUAGCGGCGGACGGGUGAGUAACACGUGGGUAACCUACCUAUAAGACUGGGAUAACUUCGGGAAACCGGAGCUAAUACCGGAUAAUAUAUUGAACCGCAUGGUUCGAUAGUGAAAGAUGGCUUUGCUAUCACUUAUAGAUGGACCUGCGCCGUAUUAGCUAGUUGGUAAGGUAACGGCUUACCAAGGCAACGAUACGUAGCCGACCUGAGAGGGUGAUCGGCCACACUGGAACUGAGACACGGUCCAGACUCCUACGGGAGGCAGCAGUAGGGAAUCUUCCGCAAUGGGCGAAAGCCUGACGGAGCAACGCCGCGUGAGUGAUGAAGGUCUUCGGAUCGUAAAACUCUGUUAUUAGGGAAGAACAAACGUGUAAGUAACUAUGCACGUCUUGACGGUACCUAAUCAGAAAGCCACGGCUAACUACGUG